GAUGAACGCUGGCGGCGUGCUUAACACAUGCAAGUCGAACGGUGAAGCUCAGCUUGCUGGGUGGAUCAGUGGCGAACGGGUGAGUAACACGUGAGCAACCUGCCCCUGACUCUGGGAUAAGCGCUGGAAACGGUGUCUAAUACUGGAUAUGUACCACGAUCGCAUGGUCUGUGGUUGGAAAGAUUUUUCGGUUGGGGAUGGGCUCGCGGCCUAUCAGCUUGUUGGUGAGGUAAUGGCUCACCAAGGCGUCGACGGGUAGCCGGCCUGAGAGGGUGACCGGCCACACUGGGACUGAGACACGGCCCAGACUCCUACGGGAGGCAGCAGUGGGGAAUAUUGCACAAUGGGCGCAAGCCUGAUGCAGCAACGCCGCGUGAGGGAUGACGGCCUUCGGGUUGUAAAGUACUUUCAGCGAGGAGGAAGGCGAUAAGGUUAAUAACCGCAGCGAUUGACGUUACCCGCAGAAGAAGCACCGGCUAACUCCGUGCCAGCAGCCGCAGUAACAC
rnacentral:rRNA from 1 species